UCCAAUGUGACUUUGUAAAUCUGUAAAUAACAUCUGUAUGCAACUUAUGUAGUAUUUUCCAUAGCUUUUGAAGUGGUUUAAGUAGUAACUAUUUAAAAAAGCACUUGUUUAGCAUUCUGGAGAUGUGUGGUACCAUAGAGGGAGAAACCGUCCUGCUGCUGUAGUUGAUGAUGGCAGCAGACUGGAUGUUACGAAUGACUUUCGAGCGUAGCCGUACAAGUGAUCCACUUCAGCGACCAGAGGAAAGGUCAUCCGUAAAUAGUUUCAUUGAAUGGAGCGUCUGCGCGACUGUCUGCGUGACGUGUGUCGGCCAGACACGAGUUUGCCGCUGUAAAGCGGAGGUCAUAAAACGCUCCCAAAGAAAGGAGCCGUGAGGAUGAGGCCGUUGAGAAAAUCUCAAACAUUCUUCUCAUUGUUCUCAAGACGCUGCACAGCCAAAACAACUUUGAGAGAAAGGAGGGGAAACAAAUGUGUGGCCAGACGGUCCGGCUGGAAUGAUGUGGGACUCGUGUACAGAGGAAAGACUGAGAUCACUGCGAAAGUCACCAACUGCGCCCUCAAUUUAGGAAAGCUGUUGAAAGGAAAGAUCCGAUGGAAAAUAUUAAAUGGAGAGCGAGAAAAAGUAAGAUGUUCCCGUUUCCAAGGCGUCACUCCAUCGAUUCUGGAUUAAGUACUGUAGAUGAUUUCAACAAGUCAAGACCUCAUGAGAUCUGUCUUGAAAUGCAGCUGCAAUAUCCAGGUACUUUUUUUAAAACCGAGUACAUUUCUUUCUUCGUAUGAUUACAUACAAACACAGUAUGGGACCGAUUUGAAAUAUUUGGGGUGGAAAAGCAACGCUCCUCGUGCGAAAUGCACACAUAUUGGGUAAUAUUAAGUUUAUCAUUGCUAAUUUUGUUAUAUACAGUAACACCUUUCUCUUUUUGCUGUCCAGAUUAGCAUUUUUUCUGCGUGUCGCAACGCAUUAUGGGAUUGGUUUGGCCAACACAAUGUUACAGCAUGUUUGUCGCAAAACUAAUCUUUUCAAAGAAACAAUGCCUAUGUUAAUAAGUCUUUAUUCCUCUUAAUGUUAGUCUCAGUUUGCACUUGGCACUCGGAAAGUCUGUAAGUGUGGAAAAACCUGUAAUGAUGUAUCUAGGAAAACAUUUCGGCUUAGAUUUUCGCAGCUGUUUCCCUCGGAGUCGGAUGGUGAAAAGAUGCUAUGUAGGAACAUCGAAUCACAUCCUCUGAUCAGCACCUAAAUGACUGUUAGUCACGCUCUGCAAAAUCUCCUCUUGCACGGUUACUGGGGAAAAACCUAAAAGCAUUAUACACCACAAACACGCACGCUCUAUAAAUACACGGAAAGCAUUGGUGGUCUUUGUUUAGAGUGUCAGCUCAUGAGUAAACUUGAGUAUCAUUAUCCUGGAUAUUUAAAGUAAAGACAUACACAUAACGCAAUGGGUUUACGUCAGCUAGGAGUUCCCCUUUAGUCUGGACUCUGGACACGUUCAAGUCCCUGUCAAGGCUGACAUUUGUAUUGACGCUGUUACUGGAAGGAUUCAGUUGACUGGUUAUGAUCCUGUAAACGUUCUUUCAGAAAUGUUUAAAGGAAAACCAUUUGAGGAGAAUGCAAAGUGACACGCUAAAACUGGAAAAUAUGUUCCUUCUUUCCGAGGGAUUUUAAAAAACUUGUAGUCUGUGUUAGGUUUCAUGCUGAUUUAUUUUUCCCAAAUAAAAGCUUUGGUUAUCUCAUACGUGUCUGUUCCAGAGCUUCAAAUGAUAUCUCAACAAUGUCUUAAAGUGAUUUGCCAACGAUUUACGAUUUCUCAUCAAAUAAUCGAACUUUCUAUAAGUAAGAUCAUGUCAAAGAUUGAAAUCAAAGUUUGAUACUCCAAACGUUAUUUGCAUUGACUUUAGCCUGCAGAGUCAAAGACUAUCUGAACUAUACUAAAACUUCAUAAACAAUGUAUUUUAUGUCUUGGUAAGGUAAAGAUGAGCAAUACGAUCUACAAUAUUAUAUAAUACAAUAAAAAAUUAUUGGUACUUUAGGGUUUUAUCAGAGACUCGAGACAUACUUGAUCACGAUUUUCUCUCCAAAAGCACUUCAUGUGUGAACUCCACAGGUUUUUCCUGCUUUUUGUCACUCCCAAAACUUUACACCCGACGAGAGACAGGGUGCGGAAUACUCAGCGUUUUUUUAUGGGCCGCGCGUCUUUCUGACCUCAUUUCAAACUGUCAUUGAAAAGCUAUUUUUAUAAGUCCACAGGAAGCCUAGUCAGCCAGACGCUAGCAGGAGGGGCCAUGAUGAUCACAGGCCGCAUGACAAAAAUUAGGUGCCCUUGGCAGUCACGCAUGCGUUUAAGAAGUCUGGCCAAAAAUUACAAUUCUGCCGUCGUUACAAAUGUAGCCAUGCUAUUUACUUCACAAAUCUUUAGCAGAAUGUUCACGUGACUUAUUGAUGUGGAAAAUGCAUAAGUUUGGUCUGCUUUAAUUGUGUUUACUUUUGCGUUUCCUUUUUGGAUCCUGAUCACUGUAUUCGUUCAUCGCGUGCUGAAGUACAGUGUAAACACAGAAGAAGUCUUCACCGGUUUGGAUCAUCGUGACUGUUUGGUGAAAGCGUGUGGGUAACUGAUCACACAACUUUUAUUUUUAGAUCCUUUGCUAUCUGUCUGCUGUUGUUUGUCGAGUCUUUCUCACAGAUCUAGAUCAUGUGUAGGACCCCACCUCUGAGCCCUUACACUAACACACCUCUUCUGCUGGCCAGGGGAAUUCCUGGCAGAGUGAUUUUUAAACCUAAUGUCUAAAUCACAUUGCCAGGGAUUUCCAAUGGCUUGCAUGAGGAGACUGCAGACAUGCCAAAUGUACUGUAUACACAAACACACACACACCUGAACGCUCCACACGCUAAUCCUGAAGGAAUGUCAACUGUCUGAAUGAAGUUCUUGUGCAAAUUUACGCACACUUUCCAUGGUUUCCGUGAGGUUGUACGGUUUCGGGACUUAACCCUCUUGUGAACAGUGUUUUGGACUAUCAUGUUCACAGUGGUUAAGUUCUGCCAUCCUGGAACCAAAAGCUGCACAGCGAUCUGUAAAACAAGAAUUAACCAACGUAUAUUAGCGUACACACCAAUGCACGAUCACGAUAAUGAUAAUUGGCUACGAGGCGCAGUACACGCGCAAAUCAUUUACAUUCAAUUAACUAAUAUUGCAUAAUUCCUUUGAUUAAAACUUUGUAAUUGUUCACAUGUCAUUAAAUGUAUAAAUGUGCUGUUUUUGUUGUAUUUACAGCUGUUAUAACCAGCAGAUGCCAUCAACACAAUGAGUUUCGCGUAUCUCUAAAUAGUGAUUUUAGUUAUCUAGUGUAAUCUAAGAUCUUACCUUUUGGUAUAAGUAGAAUAAAAACAUUAUCAAGACAAUUUCACUGCAACUGCAACAGCGCGGGACACCUGAGGUAAUUUCAUGUAAAUAUUGGACCUCAGCUUCUCCACGGUGCAUGUCAUUUCAAAUGCGCGUGCACUUGACUUUAGAUUCAAGUGACACGUAACAGUUAAUUUGAUUGGCUGUCAUUGGUUUAGCGUGAACUCCGCUUUUUUCUUUAAAAUAAAUUUUGUUUAAAACUAUAUUUUUUUAUCGUUAUAAGCCCUUCUGUGAAUGUUUACAAUCUGUUGUGUUAAUAUAAGAUGGCCUUAUUUUUAAAUUUGGUUGAUAUCAGAUGUUGAAAAUAUAAUGCACAAUGAAUUGAAGCAAAUAUCAAGUUUGUGUCUUUUUUAUUUUUUAUUAUUUUUUUAAAGAAAUGCCGUAUGAGCUUCAAUGUGUAACCGGUCAUUAAAUGACAAAUGUUGUUUCUCAGCAGUUUUCCUCCUAAUAUUCUUCAGAUGUUCAUAAAAUUAUGCUGAAAAUUUUAAAAUAAAAGUCCCUUAUUAAAAUACA